ACAUGCAAGUCGAGCGGGCGUAGCAAUAACGUCAGCGGCAGACGGGUGAGUAACGCGUGGGAACAUACCUUUUGGUUCGGAACAACACAGGGAAACUUGUGCUAAUACCGGAUAAGCCCUUACGGGGAAAGAUUUAUCGCCGAAAGAUUGGCCCGCGUCUGAUUAGCUAGUUGGUGAGGUAACGGCUCACCAAGGCGACGAUCAGUAGCUGGUCUGAGAGGAUGAUCAGCCACAUUGGGACUGAGACACGGCCCAAACUCCUACGGGAGGCAGCAGUGGGGAAUAUUGGACAAUGGGGGCAACCCUGAUCCAGCCAUGCCGCGUGAGUGAUGAAGGCCUUAGGGUUGUAAAGCUCUUUUAGCGGGGAAGAUAAUGACGGUACCCGCAGAAAAAGCCC
rnacentral:rRNA from 1 species